rnacentral:lncRNA from 1 species
UUGUACCUUUAUCUUUAUACAUACAGGUUUCUUUUUGUGUAAGUUACAAAAGACAUUUAACAUAUGCAGGAUACUUGCUAUUCUUUGUAACCUUAUUUCUGUAGUGUGUUACAAUUUGGUCAGGACCAAAAAAAAAAACAAAUGCUUGCAAGUUACAAAUCUUCUUUCAACGUUUCAAACACACAACUUAGAACGUCGAUAUCUCUUUCAUCUUAGCUCCGUU